GACGAACGCUGGCGGCGUGCCUAACACAUGCAAGUCGAGCGAGGUCCAUCCAGUGGCAACACUGGGGAAGACCUAGCGGCGAACGGGUGAGUAACACGUGAGGAACUUGCCCCGGAGUACGGGAUAACCCGAGGAAACUCGGGCUAAUACCGUAUGCCCUCUUCGGGUCGCAUGGCCGGAUGAGGAAAGAUUUAUCGCCCCGGGAGAGCCUCGCGGCCUAUCAGCUAGUUGGUGGAGUAACGGCCCACCAAGGCAUCGACGGGUAGCUGGUCUGAGAGGACGAUCAGCCACACUGGGACUGAGACACGGCCCAGACUCCUACGGGAGGCAGCAGUGGGGAAUCUUGCGCAAUGGGCGAAAGCCUGACGCAGCAACGCCGCGUGCGGGAUGAAGGCCUUCGGGUUGUAAACCGCUUUCAGCAGGGAAGAAAUUGACGGUACCUGCAGAAGAAGCCCCGGCCAACUACGUGCCAGCCGCCGCCGUAACAC
rnacentral:rRNA from 1 species